UACUAGAGUAGCACUCGCAUAUCAAUAAGCGGAGGAAAAGAAACUAACAAGGAUUCCCCUAGUAACGGCGAGUGAAGCGGGAAGAGCUCAAAUUUGAAAUCUUAAAGGGUUUCCCUUUACGAAUUGUAGUUUAAAGAAGUGUUUUCUGUUGAGGUUUUGGUAAAAGUUCUUUGGAAUAGGACAUCAUAGAGGGUGAGAAUCCCGUAUUUGACCUUUACUUUCAACUUUGUGAUACACUUUCAAAGAGUCGGAUUGUUUGGGAAUGCAGUCCAAAAUGGGUGGUAAAUUUCAUCUAAAGCUAAAUAUUGGCGAGAGACCGAUAGCGAAACAAGUACCGUGAGGGAAAGAUGAAAAGAACUUUGAAAAGAGAGUUAAACAGUACGUGAAAUUGUCAAAAGGGAAGCGUUUGACACCAGUGUUGUUUUUCUGAAAAUCAAUUAAAGAACUGUUUAUGCUAAGCUGUUUAGACUUUAUCAGCUAUCUGUUUAGUUUUGAGCUUUUCUUUAAUGCACUUUUCAGUUAACAAGUCAACAUCAAUUUCUUUUGCUGUAAAAAAGCUUGAGGAAGGUGGCUUGAGAUUCGUCUUAAGUGUUUAUAGCCUCUUGCCUAUGCAGUCGGAGAGAUUGAGGUCUGCAGCGUAGAUCCUUCGGGGCUAAAUGCAUUUGUGCUAAGUUAUAGCAUUUUAUAGACAACUUGUUGACUAUGAUUUGUCUUGUAGCUUACUCGCUUAUGUUAUUUUACCUACGCUUAGGAUGUUGAGCGCAUGUCUCUCUCU
rnacentral:rRNA from 1 species